rnacentral:rRNA from 1 species
AUUGAACGCUGGCGGCAGGCCUAACACAUGCAAGUCGAGCGGCGCGGGGGAGGGGUGAGUAAUGCCUAGGUCUGUGCCUGGGAGUGGGGGAUCACGUCCGGAAACGGGCGCUAAUACCGCAUCCUCUCAUCUGCGCCUGGGUCGGAGUAGCUAGUUGGUGGGGUAAAGGCAUACCAAGGCGACGACCCGUAACUGGUCUGAGAGGAUGAUCAGUCACACUGGAACUGAGACACGGUCCAGACUCCUACGGGAGGCAGCAGUGGGGAAUAUUGGACAAUGGGCGAAAGCCUGAUCCAGCCAUGCCGCGUGUGUGAAGAAGGUCUUCGGAUUGUAAAGCACUUUAAGUUGGGAGGCGUUACCAACAGAAUAAGCACCGGCUAACUUCGUGCCAGCAGCCGCGGUAAUAC